rnacentral:rRNA from 1 species
ACAUGUCAGAUAUAGCUAGUUGGUGGGGUAAUGGCCCACCAAGGCUGUGAUCUGUAGCUGGUCUGAGAGGAUGAUCAGCCACACUGGAACUGAGACACGGUCCAGACUCCUACGGGAGGCAGCAGUGGGGAAUAUUGGACAAUGGGCGCAAGCCUGAUCCAGCUAUGCCGCGUGAGCGAGGAAGGCCUUAGGGUUGUAAAACUCUUUCAGUAGGGAAGAUAAUGACGGUAC